GGCUCUAUCGUAUAGUGGUUAGUACGUUGGCCUCUCACGCCGAUAACAGGGGUUCGAAUCCCCUUAGAGUCACCA
rnacentral:tRNA from 1 species